rnacentral:rRNA from 1 species
UGAGGAAUAUUGGUCAAUGGGCGAGAGCCUGAACCAGCCAAGUCGCGUGAAGGAUGACUGUCUUAUAGAUUGUAAACUUCUUUUAUACGGGAAUAACAAGAGUCACGUGUGACUCCCUGCAUGUACCGUAUGAAUAAGCAUCGGCUAACUCCGUGCCAGCAGCCGCGGUAAUACGGAGGAUGCGAGCGUUAUCCGGAUUUAUUGGGUUUAAAGGGUGCGUAGGCGGCCUGUUAAGUCAGCGGUGAAAUCUAGGAGCUUAACUCCUAAAUUGCCAUUGAUACUGGCGGGCUUGAGUGUAGAUGAGGUAGGCGGAAUGCGUGGUGUAGCGGUGGAAUGCAUAGAUAUCACGCAGAACUCCGAUUGCGAAGGCAGCUUACUAAGGUACAACUGACGCUGAAGCACGAAAGCGUGGGUAUCAAACAGGAUUAGAUACCCUGGUAGUCCACGCAGUAAACGAUGAUAACUGGGCGUACGCGAUAUACAGUAUGCUCCUAAGCGAAAGCGUUAAGUUAUCCACCUGGGGAGUACGCCGGCAACGGUG